AAAUCAAGCUUUCUAAUUUUUUUUCUGCCAACUCAAGCUUUCUAAAUUAAUAAACGAAACCAAAUCAUCUUACAUCAACAAACAGAAAAAGCAUAAAACGAAAUCAAGAUCAUCAAAACUCAAGGUUUCUUAAUCAAUAAACGAUACCCAAAUCAUAAAUACAAGGUAUGUCCAAGAUGAGGAGUGUGUCGACCCUCGCCGCCUCGCUUAACCUGAGAUACUUUCAGAGAAUUGAAAGAGAAGAUGAGUCCAAGAUGAGGAUUGCUCACAUAUUUAUACUGAACACACACCGCCUUUCAGACCUAAUCAACGCAUCGAAGACACAUCAUGCGAGAAUAAAUCAACAGGAUUAAAGAGAAAUCAAUAAAGCAGUCUGUUACAGUCAUGAGAAGAGGCGCAAACGUCACCGCCUCCCGCCGCAUGAAGAUGAGAGACGAUCUUCGUGGGUUAGUUUACGCCGUAUUAGGGUUAGGGGGAGAGAGUUUCUGUUUUCACUUUCCAGGCCGGAUGUUUGCACGAUUCCAGGACCAAUAACAUACAAUAAACGGAAAGCCCAUGACGCCAUACAUUAAUGAAACGCUGCGGUGAGAGGGAAGAUGACACGUGUCAACACCACAGAGCACGAGUUUGUGACCUCGAUGCUGAGGUGGCUUCACCAGGAGAGAGCAAACUCUCUUUUAUAUAUAAAGAUAUAAAGAUGUGAUAUUUUGUUGUACCUUAAUAUUUAAUUAUGUAUUUCUUUUUAUAAUUUUAUAUCUCGGUGUAAAAAUUUGUUAAUUAAUAUUACUGUAAUAUUUUUAUAUAUGUGCUAGUUGUUUAUAAAAGUUUUAUGGAUUUAUAUUAAUAAUAAAAAAUAUAAAGACUAUAGUGUAAAUUAUAAAUAAUUUUAAAAUUUUGUUUUGGAAAAAUACACUUUGAAACUUCAUAUACAGUAUAUAUAACCUCUAUAAAUUAAUACUCUAUAAAUUAAUAUAAACUAAAAAUCUCUAUAAAAUAAUAUAAUUUUAUAGUUCCAAAUUUAUUUUUUUGUUCAAUUAGUAUAUCGAUAAAUUAAUAUCUCUAUAAUUUAAUAAAAAAAUUAUAGUUUUGGUGUAGUCCCAACAUUAUUAAUUUAUAGAUAUUUUACUGAAAUUAAGAAUUUUUUUUUUGGAGAUGGUCAUAAUUCAAUGUUUCUUCAACGAUUUUAAAGGAAAAAAAAAAACUACUUCCGACCAGAUACACUUCCAAUGUUCAACAUGAUACAAUCUGUAUUAUUAGAAUGCGUCGAACGAAACUCAUUCCUCGUCGUAAUUCAAAGUACAUCAAGCUAGUAUAUUUGGAAAUGCUCAAGGCUUGUAUGAAUCCGAAAGGGAGGGGUCCGAAAGUGAGGUAUAUAUUUUGUAUCAUUGUUACUGUUAGUGAGAAAUGAUGACUUGUAAUUAGUAGUACUAAUAGACUUCUUGUAUUACUAGCAUUACUAAGUACUAGCAUUACUAAGACUUCUUGUAUGUAUUUUCAUUGCAGGAGGAAAUGCAACCACCGCAACCCCUUGAGUUAUACUUCAAAAGCAGUGAGUUCACGAAGAUUUGCAAGAUACAAACCAAGUGCUAUCUGAGCGCGACACUAAAAGUCAUCAAGGAGACGCUUAAGAAGGAUCAGGCCGAAUGGUUCACGAGCCAUUCCCAGUUUCGACAUUUCUUUCACAUGCCAGAGGAACCAAACCUGAAGCUCCAAGGGAUGUGGAUGUUACUCCUGCACACCAUUUGUACUCCAGAAGAUGAUGUUGCAUGGUUUGCGGUUAAUGGUGUACCCAUCCGCUAUUCUAUGAGGGAGCACGCCCUCAUCUCUGGCUUAGACUGCACUGAGUAUCCGAGAAAAUAUAAGAAGAUCGGGGGUCAUGAGUUCGUGAAUUACUACUUCCAUGACAUAGAGAAGAUCACCAUCACUGAUGUGAAGCAGAAGCUGUUGUCUAUGCCGGAUUGUCCAGAUAAAUUGAAGAUGGCUGUCUUGUUUUUCCUUGGUACUGUUAUCAGAGGAAAGCCAAGGUAUGAGGGAAAUUUAGACUCCUUCAUAUUGAGGAUGGUGGAUGAUUUGGAUGCUUGCAAAACAUUUCCCUGGGGUCGUCUAACAUUUGAAGAUUCAAUAAGGGAGAUUAAGCGUGUGAUGAACCAAUUAAAGGGAGAAGUGACAAAAGAUGCAGUCUCCUUUCCUGGUUUCAUAGUCCCCUUAGAGGUAAGCAUAUAAUUUAGUAAAAGUUUUAGUUGUUAAAUAAUUGAAAAUCUGACAUGUAUGUGACACUGGAUUCUAUAGAUUCUGGCUUUUGAGUGUAUUCCUGCUCUGGGAAAAGAGUUUAGAAUCUAUCAAAAGAAUCCUUGUGCGGACUGUCCAAGGAUGUGCAAGAGCCGGUUUACAAAGACCAGUAUGAGGGGCUAUCCUUUGGAAGACAUAUACCGAGCGCUUGGAGACACAAAGGUACAUGUUUACAGUUAUAGUAGAAGCUAGUAGAACAUAAAAUUUAAUUAGUGUUAUUUUUUUUUCAGACUAUUCACAGUGUGUUGGAACCAAAUAUUGGUGAGGAAAUGUUGUUGGCUCGUAUCAUUGACUUGGAACGAGAGUAUGACAGUCAGGGCAGCCCAAGCAAGACUUGGAACCACUGGUUAACUGUGAAGCAGAAGAGUAUUUGGUGGGAAGAGCUGUAUGAUUUAGAUCAAGCUGCACGAGUGUUUACAAAAAAGAAGGACAAAGAAAAGGUGACGUUAGCAGAAGCAUCAUCCUCUGAUUCGAGCUUGCAAGGUCUGGAAAAGAGGCUUUUGGAUUUCAUGGGAGAAGCAUUUGUUGGACUUAACUUUACGGUGGAGACAAAGCUGGAGGCUGUUGAUUUGAGGCUGGGUGGAAUUGAAAAGAACCAGCGGCUGUUGAGAUGCAGGGCUAAAAAAAUAGAAAAAAGGCUAACAUCUAUCGAGAAUAAGGUGAGUGAGAAGCCGAAUCGUGGUGAAGACAUGGAUUUUGGACAGUGCGAUGGUACGGAUUUUGGACAGUGGGAUGGGAAGGAAAAAGAUGAUGCUGAGGAAGAAGAGAAGGAGAAGAGUGGCAAAGAGAAGGAGAAGAGUGGAGAGGUUGAUAAAGAUAAGGAAAACAGCGAGACUGGUGAGGAAAAUGGUAGUGAGCGAGAGUUGAACGAACUGAAGGAGAGAUGUAGAGUACAGGCUGAUGAACUAUGGAGGAAAGUAGAGGCAGCUGAGGCUGACGAGGAUCAAGCAAAUGACGAAAGGAAAGAGGCCGAUUUUAAGAUUUAAUCAUGAAUCUCUUAACAAGAUACUCCCGCAAAAGCCGAUUUUAAGAUUUAAUCCACGUGACUGGGUUUAAUCAGUAAGGCCGAUUUUUACUGAAUUCUCCAGUUCAAUCGAUUAUGCGGAAAAAGAGAGCUAUAGUUUCUCAUAUUAAUAGAAGAAAUUAAUGUUAUAUGUAAAUGUAUUGGAAAGCAUACAGAACUAGAAGUGUCAAAAUUGAUAAAAAUUAAUAGGUCAAUCUAGAGAUGACAAUCAUAGACCAUCUGACCUGGAGCACAGGUCUGGAUCGCGGACAUGGCCCGUAAAGGACUGUUGCAGGACGGUAUUAGACUGAAAUUUAUAUGCCCGCAAAUUAGAGAACUGUUGCGGGACGGUAUUGGACUGAAAUUUUAUAUGCACGCAAAUUAGAGGACCUCGCGGGAUGGGUUGUUGCGGGAUAGGCCGAAGCGUGCCAUGCGGGAUUACAAGGAUCCACGUUUUUCUUUCUUCUUCAUUUCUUGUUUACCUGAAAAAAAAUGAGAGAGAGAGUAAGAAGAAGGUGAUUCGUGUGACUUCCUCCCGAGAAAAUGAAUGGAGCUACGGCGAUGACGAUUCGAGCUCCGUCGAUUACGAUUUCGAGCUCCAAUGGUGAUGAUUCGAGCUCCAACGAUGAUGAUUUGAGCUCCGCUGGUGUUUAAAUUUGGUGUUUUUUAUUUAUUUAUUUUGGAAUUGGCAACUUUGAUUUGGUGUUUGGUUUUAUUUAAUUUUUAGAUUCAUCAAACUAAAACAUUUGUUAUGAACUUAUGAGUUAUAAGCUAAUGAAAAACAUCUUCUGCAAUUACCUUUAAUUGGUAUGUUAAUAUGCUUGGAGAGCUACCAUUGCUAUAGGAAUAAUAAGAAGUUCACAAAUCACAACUCAUUGAAAGCAACCAAUUCACUGAUACCUCAGGAAAGCCCGGCCAGAACCACACAAGUUAUCUUCCGAUAUUUUUAAAUAUCUCGAUUCUCAAAAUUGAUCAUGUCUAUUAGUCUCUUCAAGAUACAUUUCCAAAGAAGUCUUCCUACUAACAAUAACACUAGACUACUGGAAGGCUAAGAAUUCUGGAAAAACAUAAAUGUUCAAAUAAAACUCCAAGUCUAAAACUAUAAAUAUCUAAGAAGAGCGGCACAUCUAAAAGUCUAAGACACAUCUUAGAGACCAACACGUUAAAUGAAUACAAUAUUACCUAAUGAACAUCAUAGGAUAUAAUUAUUAAGAAAUCACUGUGAUGUUCCGCGUACAUAGUAGCAAAAGCAUAUCAUUCCACACCCAAAUAUGAAGGCUUUACCUCCAGGGAAGUACAAGCAAAUGAUAUGAAUGUAAAAAUCCUAUAUACAUCCAUGGAGACGUACUCUGUAACAUUCUAAUACUUAUGGCGUUUGUUUAUUGAGAAAUUGGCGGGAUUACACCCCAACAUUCAUAUAACAAGCCUUAUGCCCCCAUAUCUUCUUUCCAUUUUCCUUUGACAAUUUUACCCUUCACGGCCACAGAGGCUACAAAACGUAGCAUCGGGUCGCUUUUUGUUGCGUGUCAGAAGCCCCUCUUAUUUCCAUUGGACAAUACGAAGAUUCGUGAUUUUCGCGACUCCAAAAUGAUGAGACGUGAUCUGACCUUGUCGGUUUCGAGCAUCUAAGAGUCUCUUUAACUCCAUUUUCCCAACUAAUUUACACUCAUCCUUCCAUCUUCCCCCUUUCUUCCGUCGUUCUACUGUUCAUCGAACCCUAAAUCCCUAAUUCACAGUCACUUCACCUCCAGAAUCCUUCACGAUGGACAAUUUGAAUUUACCCCCAAGGAUCUUCGCCGCUGGCCACGAACCGGUGGGUGAGCGUGUUAACUCUUACCACAAGAUCAAGAAGACUGAAGUGAUUAUUGACGCGCUAGAACCCGAAGAAUUGGAGUUUUUACGGAACUCCACAUUUGGGAAGAUUAUCGCCAUUGACGAGAACCCUCCUUUUUCCGGCGCCUAUGGUCAGUACGUUGUAGUUAGAUUACUCAAAGUUAACAAAAAGUACGAGGUUUGGUUUCUAUUUGCCGGAAAUCCGAUCAGAAUGUCUCUCCGCGAAUUCGCCAUUGUCACGGGCUUGAACUGUGCCAAGCUUCCAGAACCCACUAAAAAGAAGAAGAACCCGUUGAAAGAGAAGAUUUACUGGAACGAACUGUUUGGGUCUCUCAAGUUCUGUACUUUAGACAUAGUGAUCGAUAUGUUGAAGAAGAAGGUAGUCAAAAGCCGCGAGGCUAGGAUCAAAUUCGCAUGUCUUGCUAUCACUUCGUCAAUCCUCUUUCCUUCUUCACACCAACCUCGCAUCAUACCGGAGCAUGUGGAGCUUAUCAGGGAUCUUGAUGAAUUUCUAGCUUUCCCGUGGGGGAGGGCUUCGUUCCAGUCUCUUGUUACCUCCAUUGUUGCUAAGGAUGAAAUCACAUUAGCGCAAUCUUCUGUUGCAGUUCGCGGUUACGUUGAUGCAAUUCAACUAGUCUUUCUUGCAGCAAUUCCACAGCUCAAAAAAGAAAUAUCUCACACCGAGCCGGUGGUUAUAGUAGAAUCGGAAAGCGACGGCGAGUCUCCGGAAGAAGUGUUGCCAUCAGAAGAUGACACCGCGGUAACGAAUGAUAAAACAUCUCAGCCGACCAAAUAUUGUCUCAUUCCUGGCCAUGCCAGGACUAUGGAUUCAGAAUGCAAGGUAACAAUUUCUAAAACAUCUAAUUUGGCCCGUUAACUGUUAACAUUUUUUAGUAGCGCCUAACAAAUAUAUGUUGGUGUUUCUUGAUCGCGAUCUGGCAUAGUUUUCCCGCUAACACCAUUAGAAUCUGUUAAGUUGGAAAUUAACCGUUAAACAUUGUGAAAUCCGAUAACAUCUCGAAAUACAUAUACUUUUUAAAUCUGAUAUACAUCCCCUAUGUUUUUCUUCCUCAUAUGUAGGUGCCUUUGAAGUGCAUUCUAGAUGAGCCGUACGAAGAAUGGUCCACUGGGUUAGACCUCACGUGGGCAGAUGAAACCGGUGAUGAUAUGGUAGACAACAUGGUUCGUUUGAUCGGGGAGGGGUUUGCUUUCCGGAAGGAAAUGUUUAAAGGUGGUCUCACCUCGGCCGAUCUUGUUAGAAUGAGGACAUGGAAGAAACUGAAGGGAAAAUAACCCAAAGAAAAAACCGAUAAGGAACCAGUAGCCGAGGUUACGCACGCCGAGGCACCCGACCAAUUGAGGGGGUACCCCCCCCUCUAAAUUAAUAAACGAAACCAAAUCAUCUUACAUCAACAAACAGAAAAAGCAUAAAACGAAAUCAAGAUCAUCAAAACUCAAGGUUUCUUAAUCAAUAAACGAUACCCAAAUCAUAAAUACAAGGUAUGUCCAAGAUGAGGAGUGUGUCGACCCUCGCCGCCUCGCUUAACUUGAGAUACUUUCAGAGAAUUGAAAGAAAAGAUGAGUCCAAGAUGAGGAUUGCUCACAUAUUUAUGCUGAACACACACCGCCUUUCAGACCUAAUCAACG
rnacentral:lncRNA from 1 species